UACGUAGGUGGCAAGCGUUGUCCGGAUUUACUGGGCGUAAAGAGCGCGCAGGCGGUCGAUCAAGUCGAGUGUGAAAGCCCCCGGCUCAACUGGGGAGGGUCAUUCGAUACUGAUCGACUCGAAGGCAGGAGAGGGUAGUGGAAUUCCCGGUGUAGUGGUGAAAUGCGCAGAUAUCAGGAGGAACACCGGUGGCGAAGGCGGGUCUCUGGGCAGUAACUGACGCUGAGGAGCGAAAGCGUGGGGAGCGAACAGG
rnacentral:rRNA from 1 species